CCAUAUCAGCCUGGGUACGCCCGAUCUCGUCUGAUCUCGGAAGCUAAGCAGGGUCGGGCCUGGUUAGUACUUGGAUGGGAGACCGCCUGGGAAUACCAGGUGCUGUAAGCA
rnacentral:rRNA from 1 species